rnacentral:rRNA from 1 species
UACGUAGGGUGCGAGCGUUGUCCGGAAUUAUUGGGCGUAAAAGAGCUUGUAGGUGGUUUGUCGCGUCUGCUGUGAAAAUCCGAGGCUCAACCUCGGACUUGCAGUGGGUACGGGCAGACUAGAGUGUGGUAGGGGGAGACUGGAAUUCCGUGGUGUAGCGGUGAAAUGCGCAGAUAUCAGGAGGAACACCGGAUGGCGAAGGCAGGUCUCUGGGCCACUACU